GGCAGGCUUAACACAUGCAAGUCGAGGGGUAUUAGUUUUCGGACUAAGAGACCGGCGCACGGGUGCGUAACGCGUAUGCAAUCUACCUUUUACAGAGGGAUAGCCCAGAGAAAUUUGGAUUAAUACCUCAUAGUAUAGCAGUUUCGCAUGAAACCACUAUUAAAGUCACAACGGUAAAAGAUGAGCAUGCGUCCCAUUAGCUAGUUGGUAAGGUAACGGCUUACCAAGGCUACGAUGGGUAGGGGUCCUGAGAGGGAGAUCCCCCACACUGGUACUGAGACACGGACCAGACUCCUACGGGAGGCAGCAGUGAGGAAUAUUGGACAAUGGGCGCAAGCCUGAUCCAGCCAUGCCGCGUGCAGGAUGACGGUCCUAUGGAUUGUAAACUGCUUUUGUACGAGAAGAAACACUCCUAUGUAUAGGAGCUUGACGGUAUCGUAAGAAUAAGGAUCGGCUAACUCCGUGCCAGCAGCCGCGGUAAUACGGAGGAUCCAAGCGUUAUCCGGAAUCAUUGGGUUUAAAGGGUCCGUAGGCGGUUUAGUAAGUCAGUGGUGAAAGCCCAUCGCUCAACGGUGGAACGGCCAUUGAUACUGCUGAACUUGAAUUAUUAGGAAGUAACUAGAAUAUGUAGUGUAGCGGUGAAAUGCUUAGAGAUUACAUGGAAUACCAAUUGCGAAGGCAGGUUACUACUAAUUGAUUGACGCUGAUG
rnacentral:rRNA from 1 species